rnacentral:rRNA from 4 species
CCCUAGUAACGGCGAGUGAAGCGGCAACAGCUCAAAUUUGAAAUCUGGCCUCGGCCCGAGUUGUAAUUUGCAGAGGAUGUUUCUGGCGCGGUGCCUUCCGAGUUCCCUGGAACGGGACGCCACAGAGGGUGAGAGCCCCGUAUGGUUGGACACCAAGCCUGUGUGAAACUCCUUCGACGAGUCGAGUAGUUUGGGAAUGCUGCUCAAAAUGGGAGGUAAAUCUCUUCUAAAGCUAAAUACCGGCCAGAGACCGAUAGCGCACAAGUAGAGUGAUCGAAAGAUGAAAAGCACCUUGAAAAGGGGGUUAAACAGUACGUGAAAUUGUUGAAAGGGAAGCGCUUGUGACCAGACUUGCGCCGGGCGGUUCAUCCGGGGUUCUCCCCGGUGCACUCCGCCCGGCUCAGGCCAGCAUCGGUUCUCGUUGGGGGAUAAGAACGACAGGAACGUGGCCCUCCUUCGGGUGGGUGUUAUAGCCUGUCGUACGAUACCCUGACGGGGACCGAGGUUCGCGCUCCGCAAGGAUGCUGGCGUAAUGGUCAUCAGCGACCCGUCUUGAAACACGGACCAAGGAGUCGUCCAUUAGAGCGAGCGUUUGGGUGUCAAACCCGCACGCGUAAUGAAAGUGAAAUUAGGUGAGAGCUUCGGCGCAUCAUCGACCGAUCCUGAUGUUCUCGGAUGGAUUUGAGUAAGAGUUUUAACGGACGGACCCGAAAGACAGUGAACUAUGCUUGUAUAGGGUGAAGCCAGAGGAAACUCUGGUGGAGGCUCGCAGCGGUUCUGACGUGCAAAUCGAUCGUCAAAUAUGAGCAUGGGGGCGAAAGACUAAUCGAACUGUCUAGUAGCUGGUUACCGCCGAAGUUUCCCUCAGGAUAGCAGUGUUGACCUUCAGUUUUAUGAGGUAAAGCGAAUGAUUAGGGACUCGGGGGCGCUUUUUAGCCUUCAUCCAUUCUCAAACUUUAAAUAUGUAAGAAGCCCUUGUUACUUAGUUGAACGUGGGCAUUCGAAUGUAUCAACACUAGUGGGCCAUUUUUGGUAAGCAGAACUGGCGAUGCGGGAUGAACCGAACGCGGGGUUAAGGCGCCAGAGUGUACGCUCAUCAGACACCACAAAAGGCGUUAGUACAUCUUGACAGCAGGACGGUGGCCAUGGAAGUCGGAAUCCGCUAAGGACUGUGUAACAACUCACCUGCCGAAUGUACUAGCCCUGAAAAUGGAUGGCGCUCAAGCGUACCGCCCAUACCCCGCCCUCAGGGUAGAAACGAUGCCCUGAGGAGUAGGCGGCCGUGGAGGUCAGUGACGAAGCCUA